UCCCUCUUCCGGUCUUCUGUGCCCACAGUCCUCUCCCACUCUGUGCCCCUGGCCGCUCCGCUCGACCAGAUAUCUUCUGUUUGCCCUUCCAUAAAGACGUCCCACCCAUGUCCAUGUUGCUCUUCGCCAUCAAAGGCUAAUCUGCUUGGAUCUGGCAUCUUAUGAUCUUCAGCAUCCACCUGUCUAUUUUGAUUUGUCCAGGCUUUCCUAAUGCAUUAGUGCUUGAGUCCUUUCUCCAGGUUGACAUAGCAAUCCUUCGUAUCACCUAGGGACAAGUUGGGGACACUAGCCCUGGCAGUCUUUGAGGAAGCAAGUUGUCAUCAUGCUGGGAAGGCCCUCAUGACAAGAAGCUGAUGAAGGCUUCCAGCUGACAGCCAGCAAGAUACAGAGGUCCUGGGUCCAGUAGCCCAUAAGGGACUAAUGGACUAACAACCACAUGAACACGAAAGCGAAUGUUUCCUCGACUGAGCUUCAGAUGAGACUGCAGGUCCUGCCAAUACUUCAACUGCAGCCUUGUGAGAUCCUGAAGCAGAGAUUCCAGCUAAGCUUUUCCAACGUCCGCCCAAAUAGUGAGACAAUACAUGUGUUUUUCUUUUUUUCAG